UACGGAGGGGGCUAGCGUUGUUCGGAAUUACUGGGCGUAAAGCGCACGUAGGCGGCUUUGUAAGUUAGAGGUGAAAGCCCAGGGCUCAACCCUGGAAUUGCCUUUAAGACUGCAUCGCUUGAACAUCGGAGAGGUAAGUGGAAUUCCGAGUGUAGAGGUGAAAUUCGUAGAUAUUGGGAGGAACACCAGUGGCGAAGGCGGCUACCUGGACCGGUUCUGACGCUGAGGCGCGAAAGCGUGGGUAGCAAACAGG
rnacentral:rRNA from 1 species